rnacentral:rRNA from 1 species
GAAGGUGGCGAGCGUUGUUCGGUGUUACUGGGCUUAAAGCGUGUGUAGGCGGAAAAGUAAGCGUUUUGUGAAAUACCCGGGCUUAACCCGGGAAUUGCUUGGCGAACUACUUUUCUUGAGGCAAGUAGGGGUGCAUGGAACUCUUGGUGGAGCGGUGGAAUGCGUAGAUAUCAAGAGGAACGCCGAUGGAGAGAUCAGUGCACUGGGCUUGUCCUGACGCUGAGACACGAAAGCGUGGGGAGCGAACGGGGAUUAGAUACCCCGGUAGUCCACGCUGUAAACGAUGUCUACUAGGUUGCGGAGGUUCUGACACUUUCGCGACCCGAAGCAAAAGUGUUAAGUAGACCGCCUGGGGAGUACGGUCGCAAGGCUA